UACGUAGGGUGCGAGCGUUGUCCGGAAUUACUGGGCGUAAAGAGCUUGUAGGCGGUUUGUCGCGUCUGCUGUGAAAAUCCGGGGCUCAACCCCGGACUUGCAGUGGGUACGGGCAGACUAGAGUGUGGUAGGGGAGACUGGAAUUCCUGGUGUAGCGGUGAAAUGCGCAGAUAUCAGGAGGAACACCGGUGGCGAAGGCGGGACUCUGGGCCGAUACUGACGCUGAGGAGCGAAAGCGUGGGGAGCAAACAGG
rnacentral:rRNA from 1 species